rnacentral:pre_miRNA from 1 species
AUUCUACUCCCUCCGUUGCACAAUACAUGCCUUCUAUUUGUCAAAAUAUAUAUGUAUCUAGACAUGUCUUAGUAUAUAGGUACAUCCAUUUUUGGACAAAUGGAAGUCAAGUAUUUUUGAACGGAGGGAGUACACA